rnacentral:rRNA from 1 species
UACGUAGGAGACGAGCGUUGUCCGGAGUUACUGGGCGUAAAGGGUGCGCAGGUAGCGGCGCGCGUGGGGGGUGAAAUCGCCCGGCUUAACUGGGCGGGGGCCUUCCAGACGGCGUGGCUUGAGCAGCGGAGGGGGACGUGGAAUUCCGGGUGGAGCGGUGAAAUGCGUAGAGAUCGGAAAGAACACCAACGGCGAAAGCACUCUGCUGGGCCGACACUGACACUGAGAGACGAAAGCUAGGGGAGCGAAUGGG